GGACGAACGCUGGCGGCGUGCUUAACACAUGCAAGUCGAACGCUGAUCCACUUUCGGUGGUGAUGAGUGGCGAACGGGUGAGUAACACGUGGGUAAUCUGCCCUGCACUCUGGGAUAAGCCUUGGAAACGGGGUCUAAUACCGGAUAUCACACUCUUGGGCAUCCAGGGGUGUUGAAAGUUCUGGCGGUGCAGGAUGAACCCGCGGCCUAUCAGCUUGUUGGUGGGGUAAUAGCCUACCAAGGCGACGACGGGUAGCCGGCCUGAGAGGGUGACCGGCCACACUGGGACUGAGACACGGCCCAGACUCCUACGGGAGGCAGCAGUGGGGAAUAUUGCACAAUGGGCGAAAGCCUGAUGCGGCGACGCCGCGUGAGGGAUGACGG
rnacentral:rRNA from 1 species